GAAGCCGGGUGGUGCGUGGGCUACCCCAACCUGUGUGGCUGGGCCGCGGUCUCCCCUCAAGGGCCUGGGGCCGUGCCUCGGGUGUACGCGUAGGGGUCUGUGUGCUGGGGGUGGCUCACCGGGCAGCGUGGGUGAGCGGCGCAGCGGCGGCAGCGGAGAGCGAGAGAGGGGAGCAGAGACAGAAUCGCCUAAGCUGAAGUGUAGUGGCGCCAUCAUAGCUCACUGCAGCCUCCAGCUCCUUGGCUCAAGUGAUUCUCCUGCCUGAGCCUCCCUAGUAGCUAGGACUACAGGCUUCUAACCCUCCUUUAUGUGACUCAGAGAAAGGAGACCUCAUUCCAAGUUCCAGGAUUAAUUCUGAUGAAAGUAUUCUGUCUCAUGCAUCUAAUACUUUACUUGUGAAUGAAGAUUCAUUAUGAGUCUGGUUUAUAUUUUUUAGGUGCUAUACGUGGAUGACCUGCUUAGUUUUAAUUUUUGGAGAAAUACAUUUUAUAAAACAUUUUCAUCAGAUUGCUAAAAUUGUGAGUAAUGGUAAUGAUACCAUGAUUAUAUUCUGGUUAAUUUAAUACCUUUCCUUUUUACAAUAUGUUUCUGUCUAAAUAUAUAUUUUUUAGUGUCAUUACCUACUGAGUUUCUGUGAAAAGAAUUUCCUUUGCCUGUUAAAACAAUCGUUGAAAUUAAUGUUUUUACUGUUUU
rnacentral:lncRNA from 1 species